rnacentral:rRNA from 1 species
CUACGGGUGGCAGCAGUGGGGAAUAUUGGACAAUGGGGGAAACCCUGAUCCAGCAAUGCCGCGUGUGUGAAGAAGGCCUGCGGGUUGUAAAGCACUUUCGGUUGGGAGGACUGCUUCUAGCACUAAUAUUGUUGGAAGUUGACGUUACCUUCAGAAGAAGCACCGGCUAACUCCGUGCCAGCAGCCGCGGUAAUACGGAGGGUGCAAGGCGUAAUCGGAAUUACUGGGCGUAAAGCGCGCGUAGGCGGCUAGAUCAGUCGGGUGUGAAAGCCCCGGGCUUAACCUGGGAACUGCAUCCGAUACUGUCUAGCUUGAGUACAGGAGAGGAGAGUGGAAUUCCACAUGUAGCGGUGAAAUGCGUAGAUAUGUGGAGGAACACCAAUGGCGAAGGCAGCUCUCUGGCCUGAUACUGACGCUGAGGUGCGAAAGCGUGGGGAGCAAACAGGAUUAGAUACCCGAGUAGUC